rnacentral:lncRNA from 1 species
GCUAAUCUGAAGAGUCCCACUAGACUUGAACUCUAUCAUUAAUAAAAAAUUAAUUAGUGAUUAGAUCACUAAUUAGCUCAAUUUGAUUGAGCAUUAGAAUUUGGAUCAAGUUUGAUUGAAUUGGAUUAAUCAGGUCAAGUGUAAUUAGGUUAUGAGAUGACCUAAUCGGUAAGGAAGAAAUGAUCCUGAUUUGAUCGGAUCUAUGGCUUAAUUAAUUUAUUAAUUUGAUAAAAUUUAAUUGAAAUUAUAGAAGCCUAAUUAAAUUAGGUUCAUC